AAGUUCUGUAGGUUGAGAUGGAGGUGCCAGUGUCUGUGUGCAGUGCCAGUUGUCUUCCAGGAUCUCGGAAGGCUGUCCGUCAUGGGGAGCCUAUCUGCUGCUUUGACUGUGUACCAUGUGACAGCGGCAAAAUUAGCAAUCAGACAAACUCAGUAGAUUGUAUAAUUUGUCCUGAGAACUUCUGGUCAAACAACGACAGAACAGCCUGCAUCGCCAAGAAAGUGGAGUA